AGUCGACCGAGCGACCAUUGCUCACUACCGCCGCGCAUCAGCGAACUGCAGCAGAGCCGCGCACGCCUCAUGAGGAAUAUAUCGCAAGUGGACCGAGACGGCUGCUGUGUCCUAAGUGGGAUUUUUCUAAGAGAAAAUAAAUACUAGAAACGCCAGAAGUUUCAGCGGCGUGGACGCAAUACUUUCUUUCGUGGGUGGCGUUUUAGUUUCCAGCGCCCGUCACUGCCUUGAAGUAACGUUACAUGUGAACCAGCGACUCCUUCGGCUUCUCAGUCCCUCCCUCCUCUCCCCGAAACUCCAACGAAAAUACUUCAACUCUUGCUCUCGCUGGAGGAUUUUACCGCACUUCUGGUUAUUUUUUUCGGUCCGAGCCCAGCCGUGUUUCCUGUGCAGCCUAGAUCAGUGCUUGCUAUGGAUGGACCUCUGAGAGGGACCAUUCAGUGCAGCUGCACAUCUUGAAUAGCA